CAGGUUGUCCACCAUAUUGCACUGUUGAGUAUUGCUCAGCCAAGCCUACCAGAACAGCACUUUGUACCUUGCGAGAACCUGAGGGUGUCAGGUGUGAUGCAAAGUGCCGUGUAACCUACUGCCACACCUGUUACUAUGACGAUGAGUAUCGCCCUCUGCCAAGAAGCUGUAAAACAUGCUCUCGUGUUGAGAUUGAGCUUGAGGCCAGGUGUUUCAGAAAAUGGGCAGUGUGCACGAGACGAGCUGAUGGACAGGUCUAUCUCAAGGUGCGUGCUCGGGAGAGGACCAGUGAAACGUUUAAGUGUUACGAGCACCCCUGUGCCUAACUGAGCAAAGAAUUAAACUAAUUAUAAACAAAAAUGAACUGUCGCACAAACUAAUGUAUAGUACUGUAAAUCAUUUAUACUGCUAAAAACUCUAUUGAUUUAAUUCCCCCUGUGGCCUUUUCUAUGCCAUCAUUUCAAUUAUCAAAAGUUGUCUCAAUUA